GGAGGAUUACUCAAGUGGUUAUAAGAGGAUUGGUUGCUAACCAAUUAGGUCUUAAAAGAUGCAAAGGUUCGAAUCCUUUAUCCUCCGCCA
rnacentral:tRNA from 1 species